AGAGCUCAAAUUUAAAAUCUGGUAGCUUCGCUGCCCGAGUUGUAAUCUGGAGAAGCAUUUUCCGCGUUGGACCGUGUACAAGUUUCUUGGAACAGAAUAUCAUAGAGGGUGAGAAUCCCGUCCAUGACACGGACUACCAAUGCUUUGUGAUAUGCUCUCGAAGAGUCGAGUUGUUUGGGAAUGCAGCUCAAAAUGGGUGGUAAGUUCCAUCUAAAGCUAAAUAUUGGCGAGAGACCGAUAGCGAA
rnacentral:rRNA from 1 species